UAGGCAUCUUGGGGCGUGCCGAUGCCACCCUACACCACUGCAUAUAGAGUCAUCGGAAGCAUAACUGCAGACGUCGAUAUCCCCAUAUACUUGCUCAUCUCCCAAACAAACGAAAUCUUCGGUGACUAGGGCGGGGCAGUCCUGUUGGAUGCGGAGAUUGUAAGGAAAUGAGAGCGAACCUCUUCGUCCUUCACAUGCCACCACCACAUAUCAAUCAAACCACUUUAUUCCUUCACACAACGACACAGACACGAGUUGAUCGAUCGAUCACAGUAUUUCCACCACCUCCCCUACAACGUCGAUACUACCAUCCCCACCACCACAGUCACCACCAUUAACCCCAUCAACGCGCUCCAGCGCCCUCUUCACCACCAAAAAGAUCGCCUUCCCC
rnacentral:sRNA from 1 species